GGGCCGUUAGCUCAGCUGGUUAGAGCAGAGGACUCAUAAUCCUUUGGUCGUUGGUUCAAGUCCAACACGGCCUACCA
rnacentral:tRNA from 4 species